CCUACGGGAGGCAGCAGUGAGGAAUAUUGGUCAAUGGGCGGAAGCCUGAACCAGCCAAGUAGCGUGCAGGAUGACGGCCCUACGGGUUGUAAACUGCUUUUAUACGGGAAUAACGCGCCUUACGUGUAGGGCUUUGCAUGUACCGUAUGAAUAACGACCGGCUAAUUCCGGGCCAGCAGCCGCGGUAAUACGGAAGGUCCGGGCGUUAUCCGGAUUUUUUGGGUUUAAAGGGAGCGGAGGCCGGAUGUCAAGCGUGCUGUGAAAUGUCCGGGCUCAACCCGGGCCUUGCAGCGCGAACUGGCGUGCUUGAGUCCGCGGAAGGCAGGCGGAAUGCGGGGUGUAGCGGUGAAAUGCUUAGAUAUGACGAAGAACCCCGAUUGCGAAGGCAGCUUGCUGCAGCGGAACUGACGCUGAUGCUCGAAAGCGCGGGUAUCGAACAGGAUUAGAUACCCGGGUAGUC
rnacentral:rRNA from 1 species